rnacentral:rRNA from 1 species
ACUUGCUGCUUCGCUGACGAGUGGCGGACGGGUGAGUAAUGUCUGGGAAACUGCCUGAUGGAGGGGGAUAACUACUGGAAACGGUAGCUAAUACCGCAUAACGUCGCAAGACCAAAGAGGGGGACCUUCGGGCCUCUUGCCAUCGGAUGUGCCCAGAUGGGAUUAGCUAGGGGGGGUACUCCCGGCGCSCCCUGUGGUUGGGUACCCCCACGGAUGCCGGCCAUCCAGGGGCGCAGUGGAUUCACAAUGGGCGCAACCUGCACCAUCCGGUGUAGAAGAAGGCCUUCGGGUUUAAAUCUUUCAGCGGGGAGGAGGCGAUAAGUAUAACCUUGUCGAUUGCUACCCGCAGAAGAAGCCCGGCUAAUCCGUGCCAGCAGCGCGGUAAUACGGAGGGUGCAGCGUUAAUCGAUAGGGCGUAAAGCGCAGCAGGCGGUCYGUCAAGUCGGAUGUGAAAUCCCCSGGCUCACCUGGGAACUGCUUSGAAACUGGCAGGCUAGAGUCUUGUAGAGGGGGGUAGAAUUCCAGGUGUAGCGRUGAAAUGCGUAGAGAUCGGAGGAAUACCGGUGGCGAAGGCGGCCCCCUGGACAAAGACUGACGCUCAGGUGCGAAAGCGUGGGGAGCAAACRGGAUUAGAUACCCUGGUAGUCCACGCMGUAAACGAYGUCGACUUGGAGGUUGUGCCCUUGAGGCGUGGCUCCGGAGCUAACGCGUUAAGUCGACCGCCUGGGGAGUACGGCCGCARGGUUAAAACUCAAAUGAUUGACGGGGGCCCGCCACAAGCGGUGGAGCUGUGGUUUAAUUCGAUGCAACGSGAAGAACCUUACCUAUCUUGCAUCCCGGAACUUUCCGAAAUGAUUGGUGCCUCGGGAAACUUAAAGGGCUGAUGGCUGUGCCCCCCUSUGAAAGUUGGGUUAUCCCAAGGGGCGCAACCCUUUACCUUUUGGKKGCCAGSGGUUAGGGGCCGGGAAUCUCAAAGGARAUSCCMSYGAUAAACUGGAGGAAGGUGGGGAUGACGUCAAGUCAUCAUGGCCCUUACGAGUAGGGCUACACACGUGCUACAAUGGCGCAUACAAAGAGAAGCGACCUCGCGAGAGCAAGCGGACCUCAUAAAGUGCGUCGUAGUCCGGAUUGGAGUCUGCAACUCGACUCCAUGAAGUCGGAAUCGCUAGUAAUCGUGGAUCAGAAUGCCACGGUGAAUACGUUCCCGGGCCUUGUACACACCGCCCGUCACACCAUGGGAGUGGGUUGCAAAAGAAGUA